GAUGAACGCUGGCGGCGUGCCUAAUACAUGCAAGUCGAGCGAACGGACGAGAAUCUUGCUUCUCUGAUGUUAGCGGCGGACGGGUGAGUAACACGUGGAUAACCUACCUAUAAGACUGGGAUAACUUCGGGAAACCGGAGCUAAUACCGGAUGAUAUUUUGAACCGCAUGGUUCAAAAGUUAAAGACGGUCUUUCUGUCACUUAUAGAUGGAUCCGCGCUGCAUUAGCUAGUUGGUAAGGUAACGGCUUACCAAGGCAACGAUGCAUAGCCGACCUGAGAGGGGGAUCGGCCACACUGGAACUGAGACACGGACCAGACUCCUACGGGAGGCAGCAGUAGGGAAUCUUACGCAAUGGGCGAAAGCAUGACGGAGCAACGCCGCGUGAGUGAUGAAGGUCUUCGGAUCGUAAAACUCUGUUAUUAGGGAAGAACAUAUGUGUAAGUAACUGUGCACAUCUUGACGGUACCUAAUCAGAAAGCCACGGCUAACUACGUG
rnacentral:rRNA from 1 species